UUUUUGGGGAAAUUUUUGGGGAUUUUUUUGGAAAUUUGGGGGUAAAUUCUGUGGAUUUUUGGGUUUUUUGGGGGGGAAUUUUUGGGGGAUUUUUGGGGAUUUUUUCGGGAAUUUUUUGGGAUUUUUUUGGGGAUUUUUCGGGGAAUUUUUGGGGAAUUUUUCGGGUCCAUUUUGUGGAAUUUUGGGGGAGUUUUGGACAAAUUUGGGGGGAAUUUGGGGAAUUUGGGGGAGUCCCAGGUGAGUUCCAGCUGUAUCCAGGUGUCCCCAGCUGUCCCCAGGUGUGUCCAGGUGUCCCCAGGUGUCUCCAGGUGUCUCCAGGUGAGUUUCCAGUUGUCCCCAGUUGUCCCCAGGUGUCCCCAGGUGUCCCCAGCUGUCCCCAGGUGUCCCCAGGUGUAUCUCAGGUGUCUCCAGGUGUGUCCAGGUGUCCCCAGGUGUGUCUCAGGUGUGUCCCCAGGUGUUCCCAGUUGUCCCCAGCUGUCCCCAGUUGUCCCCAGGUGUGUCUCAGGUGUGUCCAGGUGUGUCCCCAGCUGUCCCCAGGUGUCCCCAGGUGUCCCCAGGUGUCCCCAGGUGUCCCCAGCUGUGUCUCAGCUGCAGGGCCGGAAGGGCCGGGCGGUGACGCCCCCGUGCAGCUCCAGCCCCGCCCUGGCCCAGGCCAGCAGGUCCCCGCGGGCGGGUGACGCACACCUGGCCAGCGCCGCCACCUCGGGCGGGGCCAGGGCGCGGCUCCACAGGUGGAACUCGGCCAAUUCGCCCACGAACGCCUGGGUGGCGUCAAAACGACCCCCGAGGGAGUCCUGGGGGAGAGAGACAGGGGGGAUACACCUGAGGAGGGGUGAAAUACACCUGGGACAGGUGAAAGACACCUGGGGAGGGAUGAAAUACACCUGGGGAGGGGUGAAAUACACCUGGGGAGGGGUAAAAUACACCUGGAGAGGGGUGAAAUACACCUGGGGACACACAGACACACCCGGGGACAGGUAAAAUACACCUGGGGAGGGGUGAAAUACACCCAGAGCACACACAGACACACCUGGGGACACCUGGGACAGGUGAAAUACACCUGGAGACACACAGACACACCUGGGGACACGUGGGGAGGGGUGAAAUACACCUGGAGAGGGGUGAGACACACCUGGGGACACACAGACACACCUGGGGACACACAGACACACCUGGGGACACACAGACACACCUGGGGAGGGGUAAAACACACCUGGGACACACCUAAACACACCUGGAGUUCACCCAGACACACCUGAACUCACACCUGAACUCACACCUGAACUCACACCUGAACUCACACCUGAACUCACACCUGAACU
rnacentral:lncRNA from 1 species